rnacentral:rRNA from 1 species
UACAUAGGGUGCAAGCGUUGUCCGGAAUUAUUGGGCGUAAAGAGCUCGUAGGUCGUUUGCCACGUCGAUUGUGAAAAUCUGAGGCUCAACCUCAGACCUGCAGUCGAUACGGGCAAACUAGAGUGUGGUAGGGGAGACUGGAAUUCCUGGUGUAGCGGUGGAAUGCGCAGAUAUCAGGAGGAACACCAAUGGCGAAGGCAGGUCUCUGGGCCAUAACUGACACUGAGGAGCGAAAGCGCGGGGAGCGAACAGGAUUAGAUACCCUGGUAGUCCGCGCCGUAAACGAUGGGCACUAGCUGUGAGAACCUUCCACGGUUUUCGCGACGCAGCAAACGCAUUAAGUGCCCCGCCUGGGGAGUACGAUCGCAAGAUUAAAACUCAAAGGAAUUGACGGGGCCCCGCACAAGCAGCGGAGCAUGCGGCUUAAUUCGACGCAACGCGAAGAACCUUACCAAGGCUUGACAUAUAGCGAAAAGUGGCAGAGAUGUCAUGUCCGCAAGGGCGCUAUACAGGUGGUGCAUGGUUGUCGUCAGCUCGUGUCGUGAGAUGUUGGGUUAAGUCCCGCAACGAGCGCAACCCUCGUUCUGUGUUACCAGCAUUAAGUUGGGGACUCACAGGAGACUGCCGGGGUCAACUCGGAGGAAGGUGGGGAUGACGUCAAAUCAUCAUGCCCCUUAUGUCUUGGGCUGCACGCAUGCUACAAUGGCCGGUACAAAGUGCUGCGAAAUCGUAAGAUUUAGCGAAUCACAUAAAGCCGGUCUCAGUUCGGAUUGAGGUCUGCAACUCGACCUCAUGAAGUCGGAGUUGCUAGUAAUCGUAGAUCAGCAACGCUACGGUGAAUACGUUCCC